CGGCGACAGACUGCCUCUACACGCGCUGCUACGCUGCGCGGAUGCGCUGCAUGCUCUGCUGUGGAGGCGCACAGCGCGCUGGUGCGCUGUCAGCGCUGUACUGCUCCACAAGGACACUGUCAGCCCAAGCGAAGUCUCAUACUGGCGUUCGUUAGGAGUACGUUGUAUAGGGUGGUGUGUGAACAGACCCUUAGAGAAGCUGUACUGGAGGGGCGUCCUUAAAGCUCCCUACCUAUCGAACACUCUUUUGGGCGAGCCUGAGGUGGAACAGAACAAGGAACGCGACAAACGAUCAGAGUCGCGCCCCACGCCGGUUGUAGACAGGUUGCUAGAGACAGAGAAACGAAUGACGUCUGGUCAAAAUUAAAAUAAAAACCAGCUUAACGGGCGGACUUUGUUCAGCCAUGUUUAUUUUUCAAGAAUAUAUUGAUAUUGGAAUCAAAUUAUAUAAGGCGUGCGACUCCUAAUUACGUUCAUUCGAAUGGGGGGUUCUGUAGGUAGAAUAUUAGGUCAUGUGGAAUGUGAUCGAUUACACCUACAUAACCGCCCAUUUUCAUCUUUAUGUGAAUCGAUUUACAUUGAUUCCAGUCUGGUAAAUUU